AGCAGUGUGGCUUGUGGCUAGAGCCUGAGCUUGGGAGUCAGAGGUUGUGGGUUCUAAUCCCACCUUCGCCU
rnacentral:tRNA from 1 species